rnacentral:rRNA from 1 species
GUGGGGAAUAUUCCGCAAUGGACGAAAGUCUGACGGAGCAACGCCGCGUGAGUGAUGAAGGUUUUCGGACUGUAAAGCUAUGUUGUUUAGGACGAAAGUGCCUGUUGCAAAUAGUUACAGGUAUUGACGGUACUGAACGAGGAAGCCACGGCUAACUACGUGCCAGCAGACGCGGUAAUACGUAGGUGGCAAGCGUUGUCCGGUAUUAUUGGGCGUAAAGAGCAUGUAGGCGGGAAUCUAAGUCUGUUGUGAAAAUGCGGGGCUCAACCCCGUAUUGCGAUGGAAACUGGGUUUCUUGAGUGCAGGAGAGGAAAGGGGAAUUCCCAGUGUAGCGGUGAAAUGCGUAGAUAUUGGGAGGAACACCAGUGGCGAAGGCGCCUUUCUGGACUGUGUCUGACGCUGAGAUGCGAAAGCCAGGGUAGCGAACGGGAUUAGAUACCCCGGUAGUCC